rnacentral:rRNA from 1 species
UACGUAGGGGGCAAGCGUUAUCCGGAUUUAUUGGGCGUAAAGCGAGCGCAGGCGGUUGCUUAGGUCUGAUGUGAAAGCCUUCGGCUUAACCGAAGAAGUGCAUCGGAAACCGGGCGACUUGAGUGCAGAAGAGGACAGUGGAACUCCAUGUGUAGCGGUGGAAUGCGUAGAUAUACGGAGGAACACCAGUGGCGAAGGCGGAUUGCUGGACAGUAACUGACGCUGAGGCGCGAAAGCGUGGGGAGCAAACAGG